CAGAGGGCGCGAGCGUUGUCCGGAAUCACUGGGCGUAAAGGGCGCGUAGGUGGCCACUAUAAGGCCGCGGUGAAAGUUCGGGGCUCAACCCCGAAUCUGCCGCGGCGACUGUAGGGCUUGGGCACUGUAGAGGCAGAUGGAAUUCCGGGUGUAGCGGUGGAAUGCGUAGAGAUCCGGAAGAACACCAGUGGCGAAGGCGGUCUGCUGGGCAGUGGGAGCGCAAGCUCCUCUUAGCCGACACUGAGGCGCGACAGCGUGGGGAGCAAACAGGAUUAGAUACCCCGGUAGUCCACGCCGUAAACGAUGGGCACUAGGUGCUUUGGGGAGCGACCCCCGGGGUACCGGCGCUAACGCAUGAAGUGCCCCGCCUGGGGAGUACGGCCGCAAGGCUG
rnacentral:rRNA from 1 species